rnacentral:rRNA from 1 species
GAUGAACGCUGGCGGCGUGCUUAACACAUGCAAGUCGAACGAAACACCUUAUUUGAUUUUCUUCGGAACUGAAGAUUUGGUGAUUGAGUGGCGGACGGGUGAGUAACGCGUGGGUAACCUGCCCUGUACAGGGGGAUAACAGUCAGAAAUGACUGCUAAUACCGCAUAAGACCACAGCACCGCAUGGUGCAGGGGUAAAAACUCCGGUGGUACAGGAUGGACCCGCGUCUGAUUAGCUGGUUGGUGAGGUAACGGCUCACCAAGGCGACGAUCAGUAGCCGGCUUGAGAGAGUGAACGGCCACAUUGGGACUGAGACACGGCCCAAACUCCUACGGGAGGCAGCAGUGGGGAAUAUUGCACAAUGGGGGAAACCCUGAUGCAGCGACGCCGCGUGAGUGAAGAAGUAUUUCGGGAUGUAAAGCUCUAUCAGCAGGGAAGAAAAUGACGGUACCUGACGAAGAAGCCCCGGCUAGCUACGUG